CACGUAGGAGGCAAACGUUAUCCGGAUUUACUGGGCGUAAAGCGCGUGUAGGUGGUUCUGUAAGUAGGGCGUGAAAGCUCCCGGCUCAACUGGGAGAGGCCGUUCUAAACUGCAGAGCUAGAGGAUGGUAGAGGGAGGUGGAAUUCCAGGUGUAGCGGUGGAAUGCGCAGAUAUCUGGAGGAACACCAGUGGCGAAGGCGGCCUCCUGGACCAUUCCUGACACUCAGACGCGAAAGCUAGGGUAGCAAACGGGAUUAGAUAUCCCCGUA
rnacentral:rRNA from 1 species